rnacentral:rRNA from 1 species
AAAAUCCAGUACCGAAGCUUCGGAUUGAUAGAGGAAUUAAAUCUAUCACAUAAGGAGAUCAUUAAAAAAGGAAGAGAAAACUUAACUAGGAAAUAUUAAUAAACAACAAUCAAGAUAAAACGAGUUAUCAAUAAAACAAUUACGCUUAAAAAUAAGUAAAAGGUAAGUUGUAUAACUACGAAAUCACCAACAGUCAUACUAAAAAAAGUAUGAACCUGGUAAAAGUAUUCACUAACCAAAGGAAAAUGAACUUUAUGUCUAGAUUUAAUACCUCUAUCAGUGGUAGAGGAGCAUUGUAUAAGCGAAGAAGCCAAAGCGAAAGCAACAGUGGAGCGAAUACAAGAGAGAAUGCUGGCAUGAGUAGCGAGAAGGGAUGUGAGAAUCAUCCCCGUCGAAACCCUAAGGAUUCCUGAGCAAGGCUCGUCCCCUCAGGGUAAGUCGGGACCUAAGCCGAGGCCGAAAGGCGUAGGCGAUGGAUAACAGGUUUAGAUUCCUGUACCGCUUAAAGUCGCAAUAGAGAAGUGAUGACGCAAAAGGAUAAGCUAAGCUAGCUGAUGGAAUAGCUAGUCUAAAGAUAAAGGCUUGUGUGUAGGCAAAUCCGCACACUUAAAGGCUAAAAUCUGAUAGGUAUCGAAAACAUGAGUAGAGAAGUAGCUGACUCCAUAUUGCCAAGAAAAGUCACUAUCAAGACCAAAGCGCCCGUACCAAAACCGACACAGGUAGGGAGGUAGAGAAUACCAAGACGCGCGGAAGAACCUUUGUUAAGGAACUCGGCAAAAUGUCCCCGUAACUUCGGGAGAAGGGGAGCCAGAGCGAUCUGGCCACAGAAACCAGGCCCAAGCGACUGUUUACCAAAAACACAAGUUUCUGCAAAAUCGAAAGAUGAAGUAUAGGAGCUGACACCUGCCCGGUGCUGGAAGGUUAAGGGGAAGGCUUAGCGAAUGCGAAGGCUAGAACUUAAGCCCCAGUAAACGGCGGCCGUAACUAUAACGGUCCUAAGGUAGCGAAAUUCCUUGUCGGGUAAGUUCCGACCCGCACGAAAGGUGUAACGAUUUGGGCACUGUCUCAACAAAGGAUCCGGUGAAAUUGUAGUAGUCGUGAAGAUGCGACUUACCCACGCUAGGACGGAAAGACCCCGUGGAGCUUUACUGUAGGCUGAUAUUGGACUUUGAGAUUAGACGUACAGGAUAGUUGGGAGACUUAGAAACUUGCACGCCAGUGUAGGUGGAGUCACCCUUGGGAUACCAACCCUCUAAUAUUAAAGUUCUAACUUUGACCCUUGAAUCAGGGCAAAGGACAUUGUCAGUUGGGCAGUUUGACUGGGGCGGUCGCCUCCCAAAAAGUAACGGAGGCGUUCAAAGGUUCGCUCAGAAUGGACGGAAACCAUUCGUAGAGUACAAAGGCAGAAGCGAGCUUAACUGCAAAACCUACAAGUUGCGCAGAGUAGAAAUACGGACUUAGUGAUCCGGUGGCACCGCAUGGAAGGGCCAUCGCUCAACGGAUAAAAGCUACCCCGGGGAUAACAGGCUUAUCUCCCCCAAGAGUCCACAUCGACGGGGAGGUUUGGCACCUCGAUGUCGGCUCGUCUCAUCCUGGGGCUGAAGUAGGUCCCAAGGGUUGGGCUGUUCGCCCAUUAAAGAGGCACGCGAGCUGGGUUCAGAACGUCGUGAGACAGUUCGGUCCCUAUCCAGCGUGGGCGUAAGAAAUUUGAGAGGAUCUGUCCUUAGUACGAGAGGACCGGGAUGGACAUACCUCUGGUGUACCAGUUGUUCCGCCAGGAGCAUAGCUGGGUAGCUACGUAUGGAAUUGAUAAGUACUGAAAGCAUCUAAGUACGAAGCAGGCCUCAAGAUAAGAUUUCU